rnacentral:lncRNA from 1 species
CCUUAAUUUCGUCGAGGAAAAAAAUCACUGAUCAGAUUCGACACAUAUUCUUAUCAUGAGUGAAGAACGUGAAUUUUUACCUGAAAAUGUCCAGAGCGCUGUAAAGCAAGAGCUGUUGAGAGACUUGACAUUCAAAAGCAUAAAAAAGGAAAGCUUUAGGAGAUAGACACAAUAUCUUGAGAUGCCGAUUGAACAGAUUCAUACAUCGAGGAACGAAACGGUAAGGGAAUGAAACAGUUUAUAAUGUUUUGUCGGUAUACUGUCAAGCAG